UAGGGAAUCUUCCGCAAUGGACGAAAGUCUGACGGAGCAACGCCGCGUGAGUGAAGAAGGAUUUCGGUUCGUAAAACUCUGUUGUUAGGGAAGAAAAAAUGUAUAGUAACUAUAUACAAAAGAGACGGUACCUAACCAGAAAGCCACGGCUAACUACGUGCCAGCAGCCGCGGUAAUACGUAGGUGGCAAGCGUUGUCCGGAAUUAUUGGGCGUAAGGCGCGCGCAGGUGGUUUAGAAAGUCUGAUGUGAAAGCCCACGGCUCAACCGUGGAGGGUCAUUGGAAACUAAUAAACUUGAGUGCAGGAGAGAAAGGUGGAAUUCCUAGUGUAGCGGUGAAAUGCGUAGAGAUUAGGAGGAACACCGGUGGCGAAAGCGGCUUUUUGGCCUGCAACUGACACUGAGGCGCGAAAGCGUGGGGAGCAAACAGG
rnacentral:rRNA from 1 species